rnacentral:tRNA from 1 species
GGAUGGGUGGCCGAGUGGCCGAAGGCGGUAGUCUUGAAAACUACUGUACCGCAAGGUACCGUGGGUUCGAAUCCCACCCCAUCCG